rnacentral:tRNA from 1 species
UAUUAAGUGGCUGAAUUAUAAGUAUUGGUCUCUUAAACCAAAUAAUGGUAACUAAUAAAUACCCUUAAUAA